GCCUCCGUGGCGCAAUCGGCUAGCGCGUUCGGCUGUUAACCGAAAGGUUGGUGGUUCAGGAGCCACCCAGGGGCG
rnacentral:tRNA from 1 species